rnacentral:rRNA from 1 species
CAGCAGCCGCGGUAAUACAGAGGGUGCGAGCGUUAAUCGGAUUUACUGGGCAUAAAGCGUGCGUAGGCGGCUUCUUAAGUCGGAUGUGAAAUCCCUGAGCUUAACUUAGGAAUUGCAUUCGAUACUGGGAAGCUAGAGUAUGGGAGAGGAUGGUAGAAUUCCAGGUGUAGCGGUGAAAUGCGUAGAGAUCUGGAGGAAUACCGAUGGCGAAGGCAGCCAUCUGGCCUAAUACUGACGCUGAGGUACGAAAGCAUGGGGAGCAAACAGGAUUAGAUACCCCAGUAGUCCCUGUCUCUUAUAC